rnacentral:rRNA from 1 species
UACGUAGGGCGCAAGCGUUAUCCGGAAUUAUUGGGCGUAAAGAGCUCGUAGGCGGUUUGUCGCGUCUGCCGUGAAAGUCCGGGGCUCAACUCCGGAUCUGCGGUGGGUACGGGCAGACUAGAGUGAUGUAGGGGAGACUGGAAUUCCUGGUGUAGCGGUGAAAUGCGCAGAUAUCAGGAGGAACACCGAUGGCGAAGGCAGGUCUCUGGGCAUUAACUGACGCUGAGGAGCGAAAGCAUGGGGAGCGAACCGG